rnacentral:sRNA from 1 species
UGAGAUAAAUAGUUUUGAACAGUUUUGCAUAAAUUAUGCAAAUGAAAAACUACAGCAACAAUUCAAUAUGCAUGUCUUCAAAUUGGAGCAAGAAGAAUAUAUGAAGGAACAAAUUCCAUGGACACUCAUAGAUUUUUAUGAUAAUCAGCCUUGUAUUAAUCUUAUAGAAUCAAAACUAGGCAUUCUAGAUUUACUGGAUGAGGAAUGCAAGAUGCCUAAAGGCACAGAUGACACCUGGGCCCAAAAAUUGUACAACACACAUUUGAACAAAUGUGCACUCUUUGAAAAGCCUCGUCUAUCAAACAAAGCUUUCAUCAUCCAACAUUUUGCUGACAAAGUGGAAUACCAGUGUGAAGGAUUUCUCGAAAAGAAUAAAGACACCGUUUUUGAAGAACAAAUUAAAGUUCUUAAAUCAAGCAAGGUAACUAUGGAUAGGCUUACUCUAAUCCAGGAUGUAUUCAAAGCAUUAGCUUUUUAACAAUAAAAAUGAUUUUUUUUAAC